AAUUGGCCGAAAAAAUAAAGAAAUUUGGGGAGCAGGUUGAAGGUUGAACAACAGCGCAGCUGGGAUCUGGUAACGAGGUGGACUUUCCAUCAAACCAACCCAAAGAUUAUGAACGGCGCCCACUAUAUUACCAUUAUAAGAAACAACAUAAGAGACUUCUUCAAGCAAAUUUGCUUAGCCUUCUCUGUCAAUCUCUCUUCAUUAAAGAAACUCAUUCCUUGCAUUUCUAACAAAACCACGUAACAACCUCUUUUCGUGACAUUUCAACUGUCUUUCGCAGCUAAAAAUCCUCAUUCUAUGCUCAUAUUACCUGUUUCUUUGUCAGAUUUCUCUUCAUUGUUUUU
rnacentral:misc_RNA from 1 species